UUCUUGUGAAUAGGGUUUAGAGCAAGAAGCAAAGAGCUUUUGUUCGCCAAGUUCUCUUCCACGUAAUCGUACUUUAUACCUUUGAGUUUGAGAGCCAUCUCGAUCCGACGGCUAAAAGGGCUCGCCCAUAGCCCCAAAAGCUUCACUUCUUCAUUCUCCGCCAUUAGGUAUCUCUCUCGCUCUGUUUCUAAGCUUUCUCAGAAAUUAUGGUUUUUCUUUGGUUUUGUAGACUUAUGGGUGCUUAGAGCUUUAGAUUUAUAGGCUUAGGGCAUUUAAUGGUCUUGUGGUUAAACGACGAUCGGCUCUUAAGGUGUAAUUGCGAAGAAUCAAGAAGGCGAUUGAUGUUGACUGUAGAACUUUAUAUUCGCAACGUUCACUCUAGCUAGUGAUUUACGUUAGUCAACAAUACAGUAUAAUGUUACUUAGGAACUAGGACCAAUGCCAAAGUUUUAGUUCAGUCUAUCGGGAAAAGAAAUAUUUUGGUCUUGGUCUAACCAAAUUCAUAAUCAAAAUACACGAACAUAAAUUGCGUUUAGUGCAAUUUGUUUUACUA
rnacentral:lncRNA from 1 species